rnacentral:rRNA from 1 species
AGCAGCCGCGGUAAUUCCAGCUCCAAUAGCGUAUAGAAAAGUUGUUGCAGUUAAAAAGCUCGUAGUUGAACUUGGUCCUGGCAGACUGGUCCGCCUCACGGUGUGCACUGGCUCGGCCGGGUCAUCCUUCUGGGGGAGCGGCAUGCCCUUUACUGGGUGCGUCGUUGAACCAGGACGUUUACUUUGAAAAAAUUAGAGUGUUCAAAGCAGGCUUCUGCUCGAAUACAUUAGCAUGGAAUAAUAGAAUAGGACGUGUGGUUCUAUUUUGUUGGUUUCUAGGACCGCCGUAAUGAUUAAUAGGGACAGUUGGGGGCAUUAGUAUUCAAUUGUCAGAGGUGAAAUUCUUGGAUUUAUUGAAGACUAACUAGUGCGAAAGCAUUUGCCAAGGAUGUUUUCAUUAAUCAAGAACGAAAGUUAGGGGAUCGAAGACGAUCAGAUACCGUCGUAGCCUUAACCAUAAACUAUGCCGACUAGGGAUCGGACGAUGUUAAUUUGAUGACUCGCUCGGCACCUUAUGAGAAAUCAAAGUUUUUGGGUUCUGGGGGGAGUAUGGUCGCAAGGCUGAAACUUAAAGGGAUUGACGGAAGGGCACCACCAGGUGUGGAGCCUGCGGCUUAAUUUGACUCAACACGGGGAAACUCACCAGGUCCAGACACAUGAAGGAUUGACAGAUUGAGAGCUCUUUCUUGAUUAUGUGGGUGGUGGUGCAUGGCCGUUCNNAGUUGGUGGAGUGAUUUGUCUGCUUAAUUGCGAUAACGAACGA